CCAUUUUGAAAUAAAUUUACCUUUUGGUUUUCCUAGAGGGAAAACCAAAAGGUAGUAAUGUUCAACAUUUGUCCUUCAAAA
rnacentral:miRNA from 1 species